rnacentral:rRNA from 1 species
UGGGGGAUAUUGCACAAUGGGGGGAACCCUGAUGCAGCGACGCCGCGUGGGUGAAGGAGCGUUUCGGCGCGUAAAGCCCUAUCGGCAGGGAAGAAGACGACGGUACCUGACCAAGAAGCCCCGGCUAACUACGUGCCAGCAGCCGCGGUAAUACGUAGGGGGCAAGCGUUAUCCGGAUUUACUGGGUGUAAAGGGAGCGUAGACGGAUGUGCAAGUCUGAAGUGAAAGCCCGGGGCUCAACCCCGGGACUGCUUUGGAAACUGUGUAUCUAGAGUGCCGGAGAGGUAAGCGGAAUUCCCAGUGUAGCGGUGAAAUGCGUAGAUAUUGGGAGGAACACCAGUGGCGAAGGCGGCUUACUGGACGGUAACUGACGUUGAGGCUCGAAAGCGUGGGGAGCAAACAGGAUUAGAUACCC